rnacentral:lncRNA from 1 species
CUCAUUCUCCACCUUGACUCAUUCUGAUUACCUACUCCAUCCUGACUCAUUCUCCACCCUGACUCAUUCUGAUUACUUACUCCACCCUGACUCAUUUUCCACCCUGACUCAUUCCGAUUACCUGCUCCACCCUGACUCAUUCUCCACCUUGACUCAUUUCAUAACCGUUUUUCCCUCCAAACAACUCACCCUGUCACUCUCUUUAAAUUACUCAAUCAGAAUUAGUUUAGCCUGUACGGUCUAACCCUAGCCAAUAGGGGAAUGACAAAGCAGUAGGGACCAUGUGCAUAAGGAAAAAUAACCCCUUUCCCUCCUUUGUCCAGGUGUGCACUCACCAGUCCUCCAUCUGUAAGGGCAUACCCUUCUAUAGAAGUACCUUGCCCUGCUGAGAAUUAAAAAGAAAAUUUUAUAUUCGAGUGCUAUUUCUUUUGUGGCACCGAAACUUUACUUAUAACAAUUUGGGGGCUCAUCCGGGAUUACAUUCCCCUCCGGGGGUGGUCUCUGGUUCUCUCUUGUGAGGAGGUGCACCCCACCCCACUGUGGCGGCCUCAGGGGUGAGAAAUCAAGACCCACCCAGUGUGAAGAAUAACCUGAGCUCUCAGCUACAUGGAAAGAAACUGGCUAGCAACCUAGCUUAAAGCAUCCUCCAUAAGGGCCACACAAGUGUGUGCAUGGACCGAGGAAAAGACACCAUGGGAGCCGGUAAAGUAUUUCCUUGGUGGUUGGGAGCAAGGAUGAAGAGAGCUACCCUUAUCACCACAUAUGGAGAGCCAGCACCAAGAUGAACUCCAGCCACUGAUCAAAAGAGGGUGGAGGAAAUGUUUUCCAACCCUACAAUGCACACUGUAUCUCUGUGCAGCAUACACCUCUGUACGACAAUUUCCCUUGUUGUUUGCCUGAAGACACAUGAGCUGCAACUCUGAAUCGGGAAAUAGAACUUCAAUCACUUUCGUGGAGCAAUUGGGGAAUGAAACAACCUUGCAUGCUCCUCUGAGGAGUAUGCCAUGAGAGCUCAGAGGCUACUAUUAUUGGCUGAACAUUGGUGUCAAAAUCUUGAUUGAUGUCCAAAUGCUUCUGGUCUCAUCCUAGACUUGUGAGGUGUGAUCUCCAUAGGUCUAUUCCCAUCCCUUUCCCCUCCACCACGCCUAGUCCCACAUUCUUUUCUGCAUGCAGUGUGCUCUGCUCUAUUGAUCACCUUAACCCAGCUGUGCGCACUCUUCCACUUGUCCUGAAAACAGCACACCCACGUAGCCUUCUUCGGUGAUGUCUGGGCCAUGUGUUGGUGUUGUGCACACUCUUAUUAUGAUCAUUUGAACUCUUAUAACACAUUGUUUAACACAUGUGAAAACGUAAGACAAACUUGCAGGUUUCAGUUAUUUAAAGAUAAACCACGAUAUAAAUGUUCAUAUCUAUUCAAUAUAUUUAAGAUAAGCACUUCAAAUUCUCAUUUAAAUAUCUUAGUCUUGCUUCAUCUAUAAAGUCAUAACUUUAUUAGUUAAAAUGCUUAUUUGGAUAAUUUCAGACUUUCAAAAAGGUUGUGAAAAUUGUACAAAGAUUUUCUAAAUACUCUUCACUUAGAUUCCUGAAAUAUUCCUACAUUAGCAUUCUCUCUCUCUCCUCUCCUCUCUGUCUCUCCUCUCCUCUCUUGUCUGUCCUCUCUCUCUCUCUCAAGGUUCUACAAUUACUGAUCCUGACACUUAGGAUGUGAGUUUAGGUAGAGAUUUGGGAAGUUCAAGAUUGCUCAUCAUUUUAUCUGGUAAUGUCUUUUGCUCAAGUGACACCUUUUACUUCAACUGCUAUUGUUUGCCUCACUAGUUUCACUUGUGGGAUUUUUCAAAAAUGCAUCAUGAUUGAUAGAGUUAAAAUUAAUCUUUCUUGAUGUAAAGCAUAUUGUGUUCAUUGCUGUGGGCCUGCUAUGUUUAGUAUUGCAAUGCCAGUGGGUUUAUAUCACCUACCAGUUUAUCUUGUUAUAACUCAUCUGACUGCUUUAUCUCUGUGAGGUAGCUGUUUAGAGCUUGGGUUCUGAAGUCAGAUGAUUUGAGUCUGACUCUUGGCUUUAGUUCCUGAAUCCUGGACAAAUACCUUCACCUCCCUGGGCCUUCCCUUCCACAUCUUCCAGAUGUGCACAUGGUAGUGCUUAUCUCAUAGGAUUUUGUGUAUGUGUGAGGAUUGAGUCAGACAAAUAGGAAGUGUUCAGUAUGUUGUCCAUUGUUACAUUAAUCUAAAAAGAACAUUGGAUAACAUUUGAAUAUCUUCUGUGCCUAAAAUGUCUAUAGCCUUUCUCUUAUUUAUUUGUAAUUCUCUGCUGUUUGAGUUUCUGACAGGCUCUAUAUUUCUAAGCUUUUAUUUAGUCUUGAUUAAUUUUAGUGAAGUUUUUCUUCAAUUUAGUCAAAAUAAUGUAUUUACCAUAGGAAGUUAAUAGUUAAAGAUAAUUGUUAUGUUUGAUCUUUACGUAAUUAAAACUUGAGAAUUUUAUCCUUUCAGUUCCUAUGUAGGUUAGUUUUUCCUCAAUAUGGCUAAUGUGGGUGGUAUCUUGGAUUGAAAUAUCUUAUUUCCUCAAGUGUACAAUCCAUUUUAAAUAGCAAUUUGUGUGGUUGGUAACCAUUAACUUGAUAGAAACGUUAGGUCUGAAUCUGUCUCUACAAAAUUCAUGUGUUUGGAACUUAAUUUCCAGUGGGGUAGUGUAUUAACUCAUUUUCAUAGUGCUAUGAGGAAAUACCCAAGACUGGGUAAUUUAUAAAGAAAAAGAGGUUUAAUGGACUCACAGUUCCACAUUGCUGGGGAGGCCUCACAAUCAUUGUGGAGUGUAAAGGAGGAGCAAAGGCACAUCUUACAUGGUGGCAGGCAAGCGAGCGUGUGGAGGGGAACUGCCCUUUAUAAAACCAGCAGAUCUCAUGAGACUUAUUCACUAUCACGAGAACAGCAUGGGAAAAACUCAACCCUAUGAUUGAAUUACCUCCCACCAGGUCCCUCCCAUGACACGUGGGGAUUAUGGGAGCUAAAAUUCAAGGCGAGAUUUGGGUAGGGACACAGCAAAAACAUAUCUGGUAGUAUUAAGAGGUGGGAUCUUUAGGAGGUGAUUAAGUCACGAGCAUGGAGCUCUUAAGAAUGGAAUUAGUGACCUUACAAAAGAUGUGUGAGGGAGCUGUUUGCUGCUUCCACCUCUUCUGCCAGGUGAGGAUGCAGCAACAGGAAAACAUGUUGGAAGCAGAGAGAAGUCCUCACCAGACACUGAAUCUGCCAAAACCUUGAUCUUGAACUUCCCAGCCUCCAGAACUGUUCAAAAUAAAUUUCUGUUCUUUCUAAAUUAUCCAGUCUGUGGCAUUCUGUUAUAGCAGCAGGAAUGGACUAAGACAAUUUUAUUGAACAUCUAUCUAAAGAAAUGCUACUUCCUUUACUCAAAAAUAAAACAUGAAGUUUCUGCGGGUCAGGAAGACCUCUUAGACCAAGUCAUUGGUCUGACUAUGAGAUUCAACUUCCAGGAUCCUUUUCUGAGUCUUGCUUCUCUCUCUCUGCUAAAUUUAAGCGCUCCUGUUCACCGUGGAGUCACUAUGUUUAAGUAGAGCCCUGCGGCUCUCACACUGCAUGUCUGUUUGGAUGCUCUUGGGGGCCUUGCAGGAGUUUUAAUGUGGACUGAUGUAGGCAUGAGGAUUCUCAGAGCCCCAUGGUAUGUUUGCCGUGCAGUGAAACUUGAGGACCACGGCCUACCCAACCUCUGAUUCUCUGCAGCAACCCCCAGGGUCACGUGGGGACCUGCAAAGUUUGUUCUAAAAUUGAGGUGAUGAGAGGGGGCUGAGUUCGGAGUGCUACCUCCUUCCACACCAGCUCUACACACUCAUCUCCCCUCCACACUCACACUCCUCUGUGCAGUAGUGCAGGCUCCAAGAAAUUCCCUUAGAAAGAACUCCGCUUAACUUUGCUCUAUACAGCAUUUCCAAACUUAAUAUCAAAUUAGUGCUGUGGUAAUACGUGGGCUUAUUUUAUUAACACAUUAAAUAAGGAUUAGUGGCUAUUUCAAAACACCUGCAACAGCUUAACAUGUGAAAUAUAUGGUUUCUGUUGGUGACAAAGGUACGGGUACCGUGGUUUGUUAGUUGCAUUUAUAAUUAAAGGAAGAGCUAAAUUUCAAAUAAAAAUUACUGAAAAUAAACAUGAGAUUAUUUUUUAUCCCAAAUUCACAGACCCCCUCCCAACCCCACCUUCCUGCCCCAUGCUGCACUCUCUGUCCAUGGGCCCUGGUUAAGGGAAACCCAAGUUGGAACAGGACUCAGGGCUUUUCUUUGACCUGGCUUUUUACAAACACAAGAAAUGCAUGGGCUGGGCAUGGCGCUGGUGUGAGAGCUGCACUUUCUGUAGUGACCCGAAGCCUGAAUUCACCUCGACCUCCAGUUCCUCCUGCCUGGGAGCUGGUGAAUGCCCGUUGGAUCCAUUGGAAGGGGUGAAUCUCCCUCUUGGCUGUCUCUGUCCAGAGCUGUUCCUCAGGGACUUCCUUGCAUUGGGCUCCUGCCAGUCUCAGGGACUUCUCAGUCUCUCUGUUGAUGGCCCAUCAGAGCUCACUCCACUUGUGAAGGCUUUCUCCUGUCAUCCUUCCUGGAAGCUCUUUGAAUACCGACCACGGCUGAGCACUGCACUGCCUCCCUGCCCAGCUGCCACUGGGCUUGGAUGAUUUUCAACCUCAACAUGAAAGGGAAACUUUCAGAUGGCAUCUGGGCUUUGCUAUUUCUGGUGUGGUGUCAUUAAAAGCUGCCUCAGUCUAGCAUCUGUGAUUUCACUUUUUGAUAUAAAAAAGAUAUGAACUGUUAGUGCAAUAGUGCAGAGAAUGAUAUCCAACUUUUAUUUUAUGUAUAUAUUUUAUUUGUGUCUCAUAAAGGGGUUCAGGACACAAUAACCCAAAGCAUGGCACUUUGACAUUUGAGAAAACAGCAGAAGCAGGAAGGUCUCUCUCAUCUUACUCUGCCCUUCUACCCUAAAGCAGGUCAUGAGACCCUCAUUCAAGAAGUACACACCCUAUACCCAAAGAAAAGAAACAUUCUUAUCUCUGAAGACACAGAGACACACAGAGAAUAAUCUGAACACACCAGUCUUACUAAGCCACCCUAUGCCUCCCAGGUUACCACCGUUCGAUCACGCUCCCUUUGUCCAGCCAUACUUCCCCGAGACUGUCUACUCUUCAUCAAACCUAGCAUAAAAAACAUGUUUCCCUAUUUCUUUGGGUCUUUAUUUCUGAAGACUCCCAUGUCACAUACAAAUUAUAUUAAAUACACUUGUCUGCUUUCUUCUUCUUAAUCUGUCUUAUAGGAGCCUCAGGCAUAAACUUAGCAAAGGGUGAGAAAAUAUGUAUCUUUUUAUUCCCUACAUUUGUAUUUAUGUUGAAAUGCAAAGACAGGCAAAAAUAGAGGGCUAUACGAAUUCAGCAGGAUUCUAAAUUAUUAACUUGGAAAGUACUUUCAAACUCUGGAGGAAAGUUUCUAAUUACUUUUGGAAGGAAAGGCAGUAUUAUGUAAGAAAACCACAUUUUCUAUCAUGCAUUACUAAACUAACUACGGAAGUCACAUCCUUAUGCCUUUUUGUAGCUAACAUUGUUUCUGACCCCUAAGAACUGACUGAAGCAAACAGAUCAAGUUGAUUCAGUGUUAGGUAAAUAGGAGGGUGGUGAGAUUUUAAGAUAAACUUACCAGAGCAAGAAAGGAUCAGUGCUUCAAACAGGUGCAAAACAAGUAGGGGAAAGGUAGAAUUAAGCACUCUUGUUUUCAAGUUACAAAACGUUCACAUUUGUUUCUAAUGUUUACUUAAACACUCUAAUACCCUAAAAAAUCGACAUCCUUGAAUUUGAAGGUCAGUAAAAUAUAAAUAACACAGUUACUGCUUUUUGGAAUAUCUCUGUGGAUUCAUUCAGCACUCUUGCUAUUUAUUUAUUUAUUUAUUUAUUUAUUUAUUUAUU